UGGCGGACGGGUGAGUAACGCGUAGGUAUCUAUCCUUGGGUGGGGGACAACAGUGGGAAACUACUGCUAAUACCGCAUGAUGACCGAGGUCCAAAGGUCGCAAGACCGCCUGGGGAGGAGCCUGCGUACGAUUAACUAGUUGGUGGGGUAAAGGGCCUACCAAGGCUACGAUCGUUAGCUGGUCUGAGAGGAUGAUCAGCCACAUUGGGACUGAGACACGGCCCAA
rnacentral:rRNA from 1 species